CUACCCCUCCCUCUCAAAUCUCCAGCAAAGUGCUCUGCUAGGGCACAAUAACUUUCGUUCAUCUCCGAGCUAGCAAAAUCCUUCUCACCUUCAACUCACUGCUCUAGCCCUUGGAGCUGACGUACUUCUUAGUUGUGGAUCUGUUGCGUUUUAGCAUCUAAGCAAGAUGGAAAUACUUCUGGAGGUAGGCCUGAUGGUGGUAGCGGUGCAACUUAGUGGGCUCAUUGAAGUGGCCCUCGAAGGACGAUUCUAUGGCCCUAGUGCCUUUGUAAUCCCUUGCUCUAGGAGUCUUUAUUUUGCAUAACUGUGAACUUUGUUGUUUCUCUUUUUGGCUAUGGCAUGGUUAUAUGCCUAGAACCCCUUUCAAG